AGCAGCCGCGGUAAUUCCAGCUCCAAUAGCGUAUAUUAAAGUUGUUGCAGUUAAAAAGCUCGUAGUUGAAUUUCGGGGUCAGUAGGUUGGUCAUGCCUUCGGUAUGUACUGGUCUCACUGAUUCCUCCCUCUUGAAGAACCGUAAUGUCAUUAAUUUGAUGUUGCGGGGAAACAGGACUGUUACUUUGAAAAAUUAGAGUGUUUAAAGCAGGCUCACGCUUGAAUACAUUAGCAUGGAAUAAUGAAAUAGGACGUUCGAUCCUAUUUUGUUGGUUUCUAGGAUUGACGUAAUGAUUAAUAGGGAUGGUUGGGGGCAUUAGUAUUCAAUUGUCAGAGGUGAAAUUCUUGGAUUUAUUGAAGACUAACUACUGCGAAAGCAUUUGCCAAGGAUGUUUUCAUUAAUCAAGAACGAAAGUUAGGGGAUCGAAGACGAUCAGAUACCGUCGUAGUCUUAACCAUAAACUAUGCCGACUAGGGAUCGGAUGAUGUUAAUUUUAAUGACUCAUUCGGCGCUUAAC
rnacentral:rRNA from 1 species